rnacentral:tRNA from 1 species
AAUAAGAUGCCUGAUAAAAGGGUUAUUUUGAUAGAAUAAAUCAUGUAGGUAUCCUACUCUUAUUA